GGGUAUGUCGCAUAGUGGCAAUUGCAGGAGACUGUAAAUCUCCCGGCCUAACGGCCUACGAAGGUUCGAGUCCUUCCAUACCCACCA
rnacentral:tRNA from 1 species